rnacentral:lncRNA from 1 species
CCCCUCUCCAAAAACAACAAAACAAAAUCAGCCAAUUUAAGCAUUUCCCUAUACAUAUGGGGGCCCCUUUACAGUAGCAAUAACUCAUCAGUGACUGGGAUUUCGGUGAACACAAUCCAGAAGUAAGUGCAUCUGGGCAGGAACUUCCUGUCCAUAAGUAUUUGUUCAAUAUGAUUGCACACGUACGUCAUCUUGAAGCUUAUCCUUAGCCUCCUCCCAAGGAGCUAUUUGGAGUACAUUAUUCUUUUUUUCUCCAAAGAUGGAAACAUGCUACAGCUACAGCAUCCUGCAUCCUGCUGCAGAAUGAAUUCAGAAUCCACAGCCCCUUUCCUUUAUAAUACAACUGGCUGGGUUAAGAAUGGAAGGGAAACAAUUGCAGACCAAAAACGACCUAGAAAAUUUCUCUGCUGUAUUAUCACACUAAUAAAGGCUCAUAAAUUUGGUGUUUUAUGGAGAGUGGGAGGAGAAGAGAGAGGAGGAAGAUGAAAGUUUCCAUUGCUUGAAACAGGAUGAUUGGAUAGGGAUAAGAUAAAAGACCAAAGAGUUGAUUUAUUAUUGUCUUCCUAAACCCCAAAUUCAUCUGUUCCUAUUCCUCAACUCCCCAACCAUUUUAAAAGAGUCACAUGUGUGGACCUGAUAAACGUACAGCAGUCAGCAGCUCCUCCUUCAGCUGGUCAAUUCAAGCUAAGUCUGGGACCUUGUGACCGUUGACUACAAGGCAUUAGCUAACAGUCAUCAUUUUCCAUAUCAUCACAAAGACAAAGCUCCUUGAGGAAAAUUUAUUACACAAACCUGGAAGAUAUAUAUUUUUUCUCUUAAAAUAACUGCUCAGUUGCUACACACACACACACACACACACACACACGCCUUACUACCGGUUAUAAUCACUCCGUGGCUUAAAUAGAAAUUGUCUUCCUAAACCAAAAGGCUCUCAACUUGGGCACAAAUUCAUUACAGUAAGUUUUCUAGCAUUGAUUUUUCAUUCAUUUUCUUUCUUUACCCAAAGCUCACUGAUGCAGUCAUUUAGAGAGGGGGAAGAAAAGACAUGAUGUAUUCCAAUAUAAGGACUUCAAAAACGUUGCCGGGGAGAAGGCAGGCUGAAAUUCAGAGCCCACUUUAACCACGAUGGUGCCAUUCACAUAUCAGGACACCAAUUAGACCAAAUCCAAAAAGUGGAUUUAUUUUAGGCCGCAACAACUAAUCACAAACAUUCAGCUGGCAGUUCAAUUAAUUCAGAAGGCCCAAGUCUUAUGGGCUCAAGUAAUUAGACCAAUGCUGGUAUUGUGACGGCUACAUAAUGUAACAUAAUU